CAAGCAAAUGAACCAAAAAGCGGAAAACACCCCUAAAUUCCUCUUCCUCCAAAACCUUGUGUGAGAGAAGCAUGAGAGAACGACCACCUUUUUCCUCAACAAUCGACCACCACCCGCCACCUAGACCACCAGACUCCAUUACCAUUCGAAUCCCCUCGCUUUCCUCUUUAACCUCUUGUCAUCACCUGGCCAUAGAGUUGUCGAAAACAGUCCCAAUCACUUGCCAAAAUCGCACUAACAGUCACCACUUUCGCCAUAUUUCCACUGCUGUCGACCACCGUUUCGAUCGCGGACCAUCACCACUCCACUCCUCUAAACUAGGCGCAUCCAGUACCACCAUGGGUCACCUGCAAUUUUGUCCAGAAUUGAGCGUGCUUUCAUAAGCACACUCGAUUCUGGACAAAAUUGCAGUUCUGUGAGUUGCCUGUCCUCUAAAUUAAUUUUGGUUUAUUGUUUCACAGAUCACAAAUUUCGAAAACAAACCCAGGUAGGUAUGUAAUUUCUGUCCAAACACAGGUUGAUGUGAGAAAGGUAACUUGUACCAGAAUUAUUUACUCAUGAAUUAAAUUCAAUCAAUCACAUUAUUUUUAGCUUUAGGGUGUGGAAAGAAAGGAAGAGAAUUAUUGGCCAUUUGCAUUCAAUUUGGGAUCGUAGGGGAGGAGCAAACGAAUCGAUAGGUAUAUAGAGAAAUGGGUUGCUCGUUCUUGGGACUGAAUGCCCUUUACGACGCCGUUAAUGGUGGAGGGGAUGUUUGGAUCAAUGAGAAUCGGUUCAGGAUCUUGAGGCAGCUGGGAGAGGGUGGAUUUGCAUAUGUUUUCCUUGUCAAGGAGGUUAUAUUUGAUUCAUCCAACUCUGGAAUUUCUAUGAGAAUCAAGGACUCUUUUCAUCACUCUGAAUGGGUGCUCCUAAGCAGAAGUGGACAUCGGAAAAGAAGCGGCUCUUAAAGUUGGCAUUGCCAAGUAUGGGGUAGCAAAAGGAGUACUAUACUAAAAGAUCCUGAAUUUAGCACAGUUUUGCGAUCACGUUCAAAUGUGGAUCUUUAGGAUAUAUUGAGAAAUUUGAAUUGCAUGGCAAAUGUUUUGGGGUCUCGACAUAGGGCAAAGGUUUCAUAUAAAAGCAAUCAAGUGAAAUUGGGAGUUUAUUACAGAAUUGGAACCAAAAGUUGGUGUCAUUGAGUUUGCCUCAUGGAAGAUUUUCUGGUGAUUUGAUUAGUACAAUCCGCAAUUACACUCUAUUGACAUAGCUCUAUUGGAACUUUAUGAUUCGAAGCUUUAGACGAAACG